rnacentral:hammerhead_ribozyme from 1 species
CCAGCUGACGAGUCCCAAACAGGACGAAACGGCCGCCCAGUGC